rnacentral:rRNA from 1 species
UACAGAGGGUGCAAGCGUUAAUCGGAAUUACUGGGCGUAAAGCGCACGUAGGUGGCUUGAUAAGUUGGGUGUGAAAUCCCCGGGCUUAACCUGGGAAUUGCAUUCAAGACUGUCUUGCUAGAGUGUGGAAGAGGGAAGCGGAAUUCCAGGUGUAGCGGUGAAAUGCGUAGAGAUGUGGAGGAACACCAGUGGCGAAGGCGGCUUUCUGGUCUGUAACUGACGCUGAGGCGCGAAAGCGUGGGGAGCAAACAGG